rnacentral:rRNA from 1 species
UACGUAGGGGGCAAGCGUUGUCCGGAGUUACUGGGCGUAAAGCGCACGCAGGCGGUCGCGUAAGAGUGCGGGGACAGUGGGCGGCUUAACUGCCCAAGGGUCGCACAGACUGCGUGACUGGAGGGCCAGAGAGGGACCUGAAAUUCCGGGUGGAGCGGUGAAAUGCGUAGAGAUCCGGAGGAACACCAAUGGCGAAGGCAGGGUCCUGGCUGGCACCUGACGCUCAUGUGCGAAAGCCAGGGGAGCGAACGGG